GAUGAACGCUGGCGCCGUGCCUAAUACAUGCAAGUCGAGCGAACAGACGAGGAGCUUGCUCCUCUGACGUUAGCGGCGGACGGGUGAGUAACACGUGGAUAACCUACCUAUAAGACUGGGAUAACUUCGGGAAACCGGAGCUAAUACCGGAUAAUAUAUUGAACCGCAUGGUUCAAUAGUGAAAGACGGUUUUGCUGUCACUUAUAGAUGGAUCCGCGCCGCAUUAGCUAGUUGGUAAGGUAACGGCUUACCAAGGCGACGAUGCGUAGCCGACCUGAGAGGGUGAUCGGCCACACUGGAACUGAGACACGGUCCAGACUCCUACGGGAGGCAGCAGUAGGGAAUCUUCCGCAAUGGGCGAAAGCCUGACGGAGCAACGCCGCGUGAGUGAUGAAGGUCUUCGGAUCGUAAAACUCUGUUAUUAGGGAAGAACAAAUGUGUAAGUAACUAUGCACGUCUUGACGGUACCUAAUCAGAAAGCCACGGCUAACUACGUG
rnacentral:rRNA from 1 species